rnacentral:rRNA from 2 species
UCAGUGAAUCAUCGAAUCUUUGAACGCACAUUGCGCCCGCCAGCACUCUGGCGGGCAUGCCUGUCCGAGCGUCAU